GGCAUACGAAGACUUCCAUCCCAUCUAUAUUAAUGGACUGAAUUUUUUUAUAUUUUUCCAUCUCAUCUCCAUUAAUGGCCUUUUUUAUAUUUUUUCAUCCCAUUCACAUUAAUAGUCUUACUUUUUUUAUAUUUUUAAAUCCAAAUAAUGAAAAAAAUGAUUAUUAAUUUUUAUUUUCCUAUAUGGAGAUUUGUGUAGAUUAGAUGGUGGGGAGC
rnacentral:lncRNA from 1 species